GUGUGUUGUCUUUGCUUUUUUUAGCUGCAGAGUUCUCCGGCUGCUCCGCUCCGGGACCGAGAGGACUGAAGUUAAAAAUCUUCAGCACAGUUUUCUGUGUAAGAAAAGAAAAGACAAGGACUCCUCUUCUUCUGUGCUCCUCAUCGUCAUCCCGUCUGAUAUCUGAGUCCAUCGGUCAGGCAGCUCUGAGAGGGAUUACACGAACGGGUCCAUGGAAGGGAACUACGAGGAUCACGAGGGCUCCUUCAUGUUUACCUCUGAGUCAGUGGGAGAGGGACAUCCUGCAGAAGUCAAACAUAGGAAACAGAAGGUGUGCAGGUUGGUGUCAGUGUGUCGGUGCUUUGACCAUCUGAUGGAGUUACAGUGAACGGCAUGAGAGUGACACCACUCUACAGUCUAUUCAUAGAACAGGAGCUCGUCACUGUAGUGAUGUGCAGCUCUCUGAUGGAAAUGAGAUCUACCCCCAUGAGGAAUGUGACAUCUGCAGCACACGGUCACACGAGGACACCUCCAGACUCAGAGUGAUGCAUGAUUUAAUUCAUCACUUUUCUCUUUGUUUUUUUUUAAUCCAGAUAAGAUCUGCGAUCAGAUCAGUGAUGCUGUGCUUGACGCUCACCUGAAGCAGGACCCCGACGCUAAAGUGGCCUGUGGUGAGCAAUGAUGUGUUCACUCCACCAGAGGUCAGUGAUACACUUUUACAGCGGCUCUUUAUUUUUCUGUAUGUUGAAAACAGAGACGGUGUGUAAGACGGGCAUGGUGCUGCUGUGCGGUGAGAUCACAUCACGAGCCAACGUGGACUAUCAGAAGGUGGUGAGAGACACCAUCAGAGACAUCGGCUACGACAACUCCAACAAAGGUCACCGCGAUCUCAUGAGUUUACUCCUCUGCUCCGAUUCCUCAUGCAUACUUAGAAUUCAUGGGCGGUCAGGAGAAGCCCCUCCUUUAAUGUCAAAAUGAUAAACUCUGCACGUCUCCUGUCCUCCUCUCAUGUCUCUGUCCGUCCAGGUUUUGACUAUAAGACCUGUAACGUGCUGGUAGCUCUCGAGGAGCAGUCUCCUGACAUCGCUCAGGGAGUUCACAUCGAUCGUCCAGAGACC